rnacentral:lncRNA from 1 species
UUCAUCAAUGAAAAACUCACUCAAAAAUUUUUCAACUUCUUUCUCAUUAACUUAGUAAAUUUCUAUAUGGUAUCAGAGACUUAUUAAAGAUCCUGCCUUUUAGUUUCUUCAAUAUCAAGCACCACCUCUGAGUCACCAUCAAUUCCUUUUGGAUCCAAAGUAUUGGAUCAAAGCAACCCUUACUUUCUUCACCCAUCUAAUUCACCAGGCAUGUCCUUGGUGAACACCACUUUUAAAGGAAAAGCUAUAGUGGAUGGAUAAGAUCUAUCCUCAUUGUGCUCUCAGCUAAAAACAAACUGGGAUUUAUUGAUGGAAGCUGUAAAACUCCAUCUCUUAGAAGUCCAGAUCUACAAUCAUGGAUCAGAUGCAAUGGUAUAUUUACCAGCUAGUUACUGAAUUCACUAUCUAGAGAUAUUGCUGACAGUGUGCUCUAUUUCAAAUAGAUGAGGAACUUUGUAGAGAUCUUGAGGAUAGGUUUGUCCAAUCUAAUAGGGCCAAAUAAUAUCACCUAGAAAAGGAAAUGAGUGAAUUAUCAUAGGGGACAUAUGAUAUUGCAACUUACUAUACCAAAGCAAGGGUAUGGGAUGAGUUAGAUACUUUAUACAUAAAAAAACACUUGUUCUUGGAAUUGUGAUUGUGGUGGUAAGGUGAAACUAACAAAAGCACAACAAGAUGAAAGACUCGUCUAGUUUCUUAUGGGAUUAAAUAAGUCUUAUGAUGCUGCAAGAAGUAACAUUUUAAUAAUUUCAUCCAUGCCUUUUGUGAGUCUUGCUUACUCUCUCCUUAUUCAAGAUGAGAAACAAACAGAGAUUUCUGUUUACUCUAACCCUGCAGGAGAUCACUCUUCCUACUUGGUCACUGAUGGGAAUGCAUCUUCUCAGUACCUUUAAGGUAAUCUGAGAAGCAAUAACCCAAAAGACAGAUCUAAAAAGGUCAACACAUCUGUGACAUGCUCUCACCAUAAAAAAUUUGGACACAUUGUGGAUAGAUGCUACAGAAUUAUUGGUUUCCCUAAUAAUUUUAAAUUCACGAAGAAUAAUAGGGUACAAAACACCGUGAGGAGCAACGGUGUCUUUCAAUCUGACUCACUUUAUUACCCUAGUUCUCUACCUAAUUGUGUAGGUUAAGUUGGAAACCACUUAACUGCUGAACAAUUUUCUCAGUUAGUUAGCCUAUUAAAUCAAGCCAAGGUCUCUCAACCAGAUAUUGCUCUUGCUGAUACUGCAGCCACAACCACUACUGUUGGUAAUGGUUCAGUUUUAUGUUUGCUUUCUUUAAAUUCUAACCCCUGGAAUUUAGAUCCAUGGGUUACUCAACAUAUGUGUUUUGAUUCAACCAAAUUCGUUACUCUCACACAUCUUAAUCAGCCAUUAAUGUCACUUUGCCUAAUUCUCUUAGGGUAAGAUUUACUCACUCAGGAAUUGUGAUUUUGUUUCCUGAUCUCAUUAUUCAAGAUGUUCUUUAUGUACCUUUAUUCAAGCUGAACCUACUAUCAGUACACAAAAUGUGCACCCAACUAGAUUGUCUUAUAACUUUUUUAUCUACCAAAUGUGUCUUGCAGGACCCUUCAAUGAAAAGGCCUCUAAUUCUUGAUGAAAUAAAGAAUGGACUCUAUCAAUUAUUCCCUUCAAGAUUACAGUUCAAGAAAGAUGCAAUCUCUUUUUCCAGUUCUAGUUUUUCCUCUUGUAAUUUCCUAUCUAGUUCAGUUUCAAGCAUUAGAAAUUCUAAUUUCUAUCUAUGGCAUGUAAGAUCGGGACAUUUGCCUAUUUCAUCAAUGAACAAGUUAGUUUCCUUUGAUUGUAAGUAUGAUUCUAAUUUUAUUUGUGAUGUAUGCCAUCUUGCCAAACAAAACAAGUUACCCUUUCUUCUUAGUCACAUCAAAAUAAAAUCACCUUUUGAAUUAAUUCAUAUUGAUACAUGGAGUUCCUCUAAAAACUCAACGUACAAUGGGCACCAAUAUUUCCUUACCAUAAUUGAUGAUUUUAGUAGAACUACUUUGACCUAUCUUUUGAGUACUAAAGCUAAUGCCUUCCCUAAAAUAAGUUCUAUCUAUGGUUCAAAGGCAAUUCAACUAUCAAGUGAAAACAAUUAGGUCUGACGAUGCUCUGGAAUUGUUUAAAGGAAUUGCUGCCUCUAAUUUUAUACUUUCUCAAGGGGUUUUACAUCAAACAUCUUGCAUUUCUACCCCACAACAAAAUGGAAUAAUGGAGAGAAAGUAUAGGCAUCUUCUAGAAACUUCUAGGGCCUUGUUAUUCCAAUCUAAUCUAUAUCUUUCCUAUUGGGGUGACUGUAUACUUACUUCUACUUUCUUAAUCAAUAGAUACCCCUCCAUGAUUCUAAAUGUAAAAUCCCAUAUGAAGUAUUAUUUGGUCAUCCUCAUAAAUAUUAAUUCCUAAAGGCCUUUAGUUGUCUUUGUUAUGCCUCAAACUUAACUUACAAUACAUCAAAUUUUUCACCUUGGGCCAUUCCUUAUGUAUUUUUAGGACAUCCACCAGGACAAAAAGGUUAUAAACUACUAUCUUUACAAAACAAAAAAAAUCUUUGUUUCAAGGGAUGUUCACUUUCAUGAGACAAUUUUUUCCUUCAAGUCAACUCCAUAUUCUACCUUAAUUUUUUCCCUUCCACAUUUAAUCCCUGUAGAUCCCUCUAUUUUCUAUUUUGAACCUAAUCUAAAUCCUACCUCCUCAGCUCCACUAGAUACUUUUUCCCCUUCUUCAUUAUCUCCUUUUCUAUUUCUGAACCUGUCUCUACUAUACCUACUCCUGAACCUGCUUCUGAUCUACCUAAUAUCCUUUCUCCUAAUCUUUCUACCAUUUCUGCUGAAUCCAAAAGAUCAUCUAGGACACAAAAACAACCAAUUUAUUUGGAUGAUUACUAUUGUAACAAUGUUUUUCUCACUGAUCUCACUUCUUCUUGCUUCUUUUCACCUAUCAACCCACAAGUUUUUCCUUUUACUAAUCUCUCUUUAGCCAAUAAACUUGUGGUUAACUCUAUUUUCUCUAUCACUGAACCCAAUACCUAUGCUCAAGAAGCAAUACAUCCAGGUUGGCAAACUGCUAUGGAUAAUGAGAUUUAGGCUCUAAUAGCAAAUCAAACCUAGGAUAUUGUGGAAUUUCCUAAAGGAAAAAGAGUUUUACCUUGCAAAUGGGUAUACAAAGUAAAAUAUAAGUCUGUGCUAACGUUGAACGUCUCAAAGAAAGACUAUUAGUUCAAGGUGACAUUCAAAGGGUUGAAAUUGAUUUCAUUGAAACAUUCUCAUAUGUGGUGAAAAUGACGACUAUCAGGUGUCUUUUAGCUAUUACUAUAAAGAAAAGGUGACCUUUUUUCCAACUAAAAGUCAAUAAUGCUUUUCUACAUAGAGACCUCGAUGAAGAAGUCUACAUGAAAUUUCCAGUAGGAAUGGAUUCACCUAAUCCCAAUCUUGUUUGUCGACUCAAGAAAUUCCUUUAUGGAUUAAGGCAAGCAUCGUGCUAAUGGUUUUCUAGACUAUCAGUUGCUCUUCAUUUUAAAGGAUUUCACUCCUUAAUGAUUACUCGUUGUUUUACAAAAACUCAGGGGAUCUUAUUAAUAUCAUUGCUAUAUAAUGAGAUGAUUCUCAUACUAUUGCACAAUUAAAAUAAUUUCUUGAUGCAGAAUUCAAAGUAAAAGACCUGAAAACUUACAUUAUUUUUUGGGUCUUGAAAUCUUCAAAGAAUAAAUUGGGUUGAUCAUUACCCAACAAAAAUUCACCCUCGAACUCCGUACUAAGUUUGGCUAUAGUUAUUUGCCACUGAUUUCUUCUCUAGUCCAUUAAACUCUCAUCACAUCCGGUGAACUCAUCACCGAUCCCACUGCAUAUCAUCGUAUUAUUGGGAAACUCAUUACUUUAUCCACACUCGACCUGACCUUUCAUAUGUUAUUCAGCAUCUUUCCUAAUUUAUGCAACAACCUCGAGUUCCCCAUUUCAAUGUUGCACUCUGAGUUCUUCGUUAUCUAUGUACAAAUCCUGAUCAAGGUUUUCUUUUUAAUAAUAAUCCUUCAUCUUCCCUUCUUGGUUAUUGCAACACUGAUUGGGCAUCUUGUGUCGAUUCUCAUCAAUCCGUCAGCGGAUUUUAUAUCACUUUCGGUGGAUCCCCCAUCUCUUGAAAAUCCAAGAAGCAAUCCACUAUUUUUUAUCCUCUGCUGAAUCAAAAUAUCGCUAUAUGAGGCGUGUCGUGGCAGAGUUAAUCUGGAUAAACCAUCUCCUUCAUGAUUUAGGUGUAUCACCAUCCCUUCCUAUUCCCAUCCACUUUGAUAGUCAAGCGGUGAUUCACAUAGCCAAAACCCUCAUUUUUUACUAACAGACCAAACACGUUGAGCUAGACUAUCAUUUUGUUCGCCAACAGUUUCUCGCGGGAAUAAUCUCCCUUUUCUUCAUUUCGGCUUCCUCUCAAUUCGUUGAUUUACUCAUCAAACUCUUGACCGGAUCC